GGGAAGGUAGCUCAGUGGUAGAGUGCUUGCUUUGUACGCAUGAGGCCCUGGGUUCGAUUCCUCAGCACCA
rfam:Dipodomys ordii contig_15565, whole genome shotgun sequence.